AGAGUUUGAUCCUGGCUCAGGAUGAACGCUAGCUACAGGCGUUAACACAUGCAAGUCGAGGGGUCAGCAUGACCUAGCAAUAGGUUGAUGGCGACCGGCGCACGGGUGAGUAACACGUAUCCAACCUACCGGUUAUUCCGGGAUAGCCUUUCGAAAGAAAGAUUAAUACCGGAUAGUAUAACGAGAAGGCAUCUUUUUGUUAUUAAAGAAUUUCGAUAACCGAUGGGGAUGCGUUCCAUUAGUUUGUUGGCGGGGUAACGGCCCACCAAGACAUCGAUGGAUAGGGGUUCUGAGAGGAAGGUCCCCCACAUUGGAACUGAGACACGGUCCAAACUCCUACGGGAGGCAGCA
rnacentral:rRNA from 1 species